CUUUCAAUAGCUCAGUUGGUAGAGCGGAGGACUGUAGAUCCUUAGGUCGCUGGUUCAGAUCCAGCUUGAAGGG